AUCGUCUUGUAUUUCAAAAGUGUGAUGACUGGGUUUUCAUGAUAAAAUGUGAUGUGCCUUCCUCAAACCUUGUUAUAAUGUUGGCAUAUUACUCGUCUCAUG